UUGAGAGUUUGAUCCUGGCUCAGAACGAACGCUGGCGGCAGGCCUAACACAUGCAAGUCGAACGGUAACAGUUCCUUCGGGAAGCUGACGAGUGGCGCACGGGUGCGUAACGCGUAUACAAUCUACCUUUUGCUGUGGGAUAGCCCAGGGAAACUUGGAUUAAUACCGCAUAGUAUAUAAGAUCGGCAUCGUUUUUAUAUUAAAGGUUACGGCAAAAGAUGAGUAUGCGUCCUAUUAGCUAGAUGGUGUGGUAACGGCACACCAUGGCGACGAUAGGUAGGGGCCCUGAGAGGGGGAUCCCCCACACUGGUACUGAGACACGGACCAGACUCCUACGGGAGGCAGCAGU
rnacentral:rRNA from 14 species